AUUGAGCGCUGGCGGCAGGCCUAACACAUGCAAGUCGAACGGCAACAGGAAACAGCUUGCUGUUUCGCUGACGAGUGGCGGACGGGUGAGUAAUGUCUGGGAAACUGCCUGAUGGAGGGGGAUAACUACUGGAAACGGUAGCUAAUACCGCAUAACGUCGCAAGACCAAAGAGGGGGACCUUCGGGCCUCUUGCCAUCGGAUGUGCCCAGAUGGGAUUAGCUAGUAGGUGGGGUAACGGCUCACCUAGGCGACGAUCCCUAGCUGGUCUGAGAGGAUGACCAGCCACACUGGAACUGAGACACGGUCCAGACUCCUACGGGAGGCAGCAGUGGGGAAUAUUGCACAAUGGGCGCAAGCCUGAUGCAGCCAUGCCGCGUGUAUGAAGAAGGCCUUCGGGUUGUAAAGUACUUUCAGCGGGGAGGAAGGGAGUAAAGUUAAUACCUUUGCUCAUUGACGUUACCCGCAGAAGAAGCACCGGCUAACUCCGUG
rnacentral:rRNA from 1 species